CUAAGAUUUGGAGGGCUGGUGAUGGAGUGGUCCAGGAGGGUUAGGGUUAGGGAGAAGGAGGGGUCAGGAUGCUGCCUGGUUUCUGACUUGCAGAACUGGAGGCACAGUCUCCACAUCAGGAAUUCUGGGAAGGAAGACUUGGCAUGGCACGUGGUGGCAGUAAAUACAAGGACGAAAGUGUCAGCUGGCAGAUUAGUUUUCUGGUCAGAGGGGAAACACAACUGUGUAAUGCGAGGGAUCAGACUGGUCAUCUGACUGCACUGAUCAACCUUGGCCUCACUAUCUCCUGGGCGAUGAGAUGCUACAUGCACCUGAGUUGAUGCAGCAUGAAGCACACGGCAUCACCUAUGAAUUAUUUUUACCAAAAAGGUUUAACUCUAAUCUAACCAACGUUUUAGGUCUAACUACCAGCCUGCAGGAAAUGAGGGAGAAGGGAAAUGACAUCACAAGGAAACCAUCAGACAAAUCUGGAAGGUGGGACAUUCCACAGGACAUACUGACUUUCUUCGAGUCAACGGCAUUUAAAAAAAGAAAGGUGUGUUGGAGACUCUUCUAGAUUACGAGAGACUUAUGAAGAAUAAAACCAAAUGCAAUGUGUAGACUUUGUUGGACCAUGAUUUGAACACACCAGCUGUAAAAAGACAUAUUGGGGAAAUGUUAAUAUAGGUUAAGUAUCAGAUUAUAUUAAGAAGUUGUUGAUUUUGUUAGGUGUGAUAAUGCUCUCUCUCUGACACACAGACAGGACUCAGUGACACACUCAGGCCCAGUGAGACUGAGGCAGCAGACCCGGGUGUCCGCAAGACCAAGAGCAGUCAUAACCUCCCGGGAUUUAUCUCAGCAGUGAGGACAAAACCUCUUCUAGAGGGAUAUUUCCACGUAAGAAGUGGCUGCUGAGGGUCUGAUGUCCAAAAAUUAUGGGUGGCAGGCCUGGAAUUCAUAAAAAUUUGAGUAAGUCCAACAGCUUCUUGGGAAGCGUGUGGAUUUCACUGGAGUAAAAUUGUUCUGGAGCCCCUAGGGACCCAAUAUUAGGAUUGAUUCUUCUAAAUAAAUCAAUAAAAGUAGGCUCAUGUGCUGUCCUAGCUUUCACCUGUUCUAUGUCACCGUUCAGGAAAAAACUGACCCUUCCUGUUGGCAUUUUUGGUAAAACUUCAGCUUUGGUCAGUUCUCUUUCACAGCUCCCUCCUGGUGGCCACACAGGAAAUGUGGGGAUGAGAAAAAGCCUGUGUGAGUAAUGGGAUUUCCUAUUUGGCUUUGGAAUAGACUUGUUUGUGUAUCAUAUGGAGUGAAGUUCCGGCUACCUUAAAAAAAACAACCAGUUUUGAUGGUUUGGAUUUUGUUUUUUGUUAAUUUAACUAUUCAUAGACUCCAUCUUGCUCUUCUUAAUUAUCAG
rnacentral:lncRNA from 1 species